rnacentral:rRNA from 1 species
UAGCAUAUCAAUAAGCGGAGGAAAAGAAACCAACAGGGAUUGCCUCAGUAACGGCGAGUGAAGCGGCAACAGCUCAAAUUUGAAAUCCGCCCGCGAGGGCCGAGUUGUAAUUUGCAGAGGAUGCUUCGGGCGCGGCGCCUUCCGAGUCUCCUGGAACGGAGCGCCGGAGAGGGUGAGAGCCCCGUACGGUUGGAUGCCAAGCCCGUGUGAAGCUCCUUCGACGAGUCGAGUAGUUUGGGAAUGCUGCUCUAAAUGGGAGGUAAAUUCCUUCUAAAGCUAAAUAUCUGCCAGAGACCGAUAGCGCACAAGUAGAGUGAUCGAAAGAUGAAAAGCACUUUGAAAAGAGAGUCAAACAGCACGUGAAAUUGUUGAAAGGGAAGCGCUCGCGACCAGACUUGCGUCGGGUCGAUCACCUGCCGUUCUCGGCGGUGCACUCGGCCCGGCUCGGGCCAGCAUCGGUUCUCGCGGGGGGACAAAGGCGGCGGGAACGUGACUCCUCCGGGAGUGUUAUAGCCCGUCGCGCAAUAGCCCCGCGGGGACCGAGGACCGCGCAUUGCGAGGAUGCUGGCGUAAUGGUCGUCGGCGACCCGUCUUGAAACACGGACCAAGGAGUGCUGGCGUCCUGCGAGUGUAUGGGUGUCAAACCCACACGCGUAAUGAAAGUGAACGUAGGUGAGAGCUUCGGCGCAUCACCGACCGAUCCUGAUGUUCUCGGAUGGAUUUGAGUAGGAGCAGGACGCCUGCGACCCGAAAGAUGGUGAACUAUGCUUGGAUAGGGUGAAGCCAGAGGAAACUCUGGUGGAGGCUCGCAGCGGUUCUGACGUGCAAAUCGAUCGUCAAAUCUGAGCAUGGGGGCGAAAGA